UCACGGCAGCCACCCUCUCACUCUCUCACCCCAUGGCACCCCUCUGCAAGACCACACUCUCUCACCCCUCUUGCUCGUUCUCUCCGCCACAUCGUCGCAGCCGCCAACCCUCUCCGCCACGCCGUCCCAGCCGCCACAACUCCCCACCUUGGCACGUCCCUGCCUCCUCCCAUCCCCUCCACUCCUCGGUCCCCGCCACAGCUAUCUGUUUCGGCCGGGUCCAGUGAGCAAUGGUGAGACCAGGUGUCGCGGUGAGCAGCCGGAUCCGGCCGUCGGCGAGCCGCGCCGUGGAUCUAGCCAUCCCAGGGCGAUUUCCGGAGCCGAGGGCGACUUGAAGAUUUCUACCUCAAGCUGAGCCGCGCCGUCGAUCUGGCCAACCCAGGCUGAGUUGCUGGCUUGCUGCCUGUUGGCCUGCUACACAGCCUACUGAUAGUAUGCUCGGUAUUUGACAGGGAAAUCACACAGCGAAGGUUGGAGACUGAUGCGGAUGCGCGCAAGGGCAACGUUGGAUGACACCUAGAAGAGCAAGCACAGUGCAGCGAAGGAAGUACCGAGCUUCGGCAGCACUACACCAUCGUCCUCUGCCUCACCGAGCACAUCAAUUUCAUGAGAUGAUCAACUCCCCGCAUAGACCCGCUUCAAGGGAGGAGGAUGCAGAGGCCAGCAACAAGGAGCGGGUGUGGGUGCUCAUCCUCGCCGCUGACCACAAGUGCUGCGACAAACUUUGGGCAGAAUUCGAUCCCUCCACGGG